UGGGGAACUGUUCACAAUGGGCGCAAGCCUGAUGACGCAACGCCGCGUGGGGGAUGAAGGUCUUCGGAUCGUAAACCCCUGUCGAAUGGGACGAAAGACUCGCGAGUGAAUACUUCGCGAGAGUGACGGUACCGUUAAAGGAAGCCACGGCUAACUCUGUGCCAGCAGCCGCGGUAAUACAGAGGUGGCAAGCGUUGUUCGGAAUUACUGGGCGUAAAGGGCGCGUAGGCGGCCCUCUAAGUCAGACGUGAAAUCCCCCGGCUUAACCUGGGAACUGCGUCUGAUACUGGAGGGCUUGAGUAUGGGAGAGGGAUGUAGAAUUCCAGGUGUAGCGGUGAAAUGCGUAGAUAUCUGGAGGAAUACCGGUGGCGAAGGCGGCAUCCUGGACCAUUACUGACGCUGAGGCGCGAAAGCUAGGGGAGCAAACGGGAUUAGAUACCCCAGUAGUCCCUGAGCGGGCUGGCAAGGCGCAU
rnacentral:rRNA from 1 species